rnacentral:sRNA from 1 species
AUAUUGAAAGAAGCAGUGUUUGAAAACCCUUUUGUCCAGCAGUGUGCAUAUAGCAAGUCCCAGGAGUACAUCGAUGCCCACCCUGAGACCAUCGUCCUGGACCCGCUCCCUGCCAUCAGAACCCUGCUCGACCGCUCCAAGUCCUACGAGCUCAUCCGGAAGAUUGAGGCCUACAUGGAAGACGACAGGAUCUGCUCGCCACCCUUCAUGGAGCUCACGAGCCUGUGCGGGGAUGACACCAUGCGGCUGCUGGAGAAGAACGGCUUGGCUUUCCCAUUCAUUUGCAAAACCAGAGUGGCUCAUGGCACCAACUCUCACGAGAUGGCUAUCGUGUUCAACCAGGAGGGCCUGAACGCCAUCCAGCCACCCUGCGUGGUCCAGAAUUUCAUCAACCACAACGCCGUCCUGUACAAGGUGUUCGUGGUUGGCGAGUCCUACACCGUGGUCCAGAGGCCCUCACUCAAGAACUUCUCCGCAGGCACAUCAGACCGUGAGUCCAUCUUCUUCAACAGCCACAACGUGUCAAAGCCGGAGUCGUCAUCGGUCCUGACGGAGCUGGACAAGAUCGAGGGCGUGUUCGAGCGGCCGAG